GAUAAACGCUGGCGGCGUGCAUAACACAUGCAAGUCGAACGAAGUGGCGAACGGGUGAGUAACACGUGAGUAACCUGCCUUACACAAGGGGAUAGCCUUUGGAAACGAAGAAUAAUACCCUAUAGUGUAAGAUGGACUUGCGUCUGAUUAGCUAGUUGGUGGGAUAAAGGCCCCCCAAGGCAACGAGCAGUAGCCGGCUUGAGAGGGUUAACGGCCACAUGGGGACUGAGACACGGCCCAAACUCUACGUGAGGCAGCAGUGGGGAAUUUUGCACAAGGGGCGAAAGCCUGAUGCAGCGACGCCGCGUGGGGGAGAAGGCUUUCGGGUUGUAAACCUCUUCGCUAUCGAACACUAUAGGGUGGGUUGAGGGUAGGUGGAGAAGAAGCGCCGGCUAACUACGUGCCAGCAGCCGCGGUAAUUC
rnacentral:rRNA from 1 species